CUGAGAAAUCUAGGUAAUCGAUUACUGAGAAAUCUAGGUAAUCGAUUACUGAGAAAUCUAGGUAAUCGAUUACUGAGAAAUCUAGGUAAUCGAUUACUGAGAAAUCUAGGUAAUCGAUUACUGAGAUAAAUAUUUUCCUCAGCAUUUUAAUAUACGUUGACACAAUAAUAUGAAUAAUCAUGUUGACAAUGAAGAGGAAUGUAGGGAGAAAUCUAGGUAAUCGAUUGCUGAGAUAAAUAUUUUCCUCAGCAUUUUAAUAUACGUUGACACAAUAAUAUGAAUAAUCAUGUUUACAAUGAAGAGGAAUGUAGUGACAAAUUUAGGUAAUCGAUUACUGGAAAAUCUAGGUAAUCGAUUACUGAGAAAUCUAGGUAAUCGAUUACUGAGAAAUCUACGUAAUCGAUUACUGAGAAAUCUAGGUAAUCGAUUACUGGGAAAUCAUUAGCGACGAAAAACUCUUUGAUGUCGCCUUUCUUACCAAUGUAACUCUAAAGGGCUUAAAGAUUGUAAUGUUCCCUAUGGGACUCAAUCGCCGUCACCAUUACCAUACUAACCUCAAUGAUAAAUCUGCAGUGGGUCUAUUGAGUGGAUACGCACUGGCCCUAGAUAUGUUAAAACGCUCACAUCCCAAUAUCAAAGAGAGAAUAUCGAAAUUUAUUUCUAAAAAGAUUAAAUACUUUAAGAUUGAAUACAAAAGGUACGAGAAGUUUAAUGCUACCGAGUCACAGUAAACACCUUAUUUUGUGGUACAAAACGGUUUCCACACUCACUAUUACCAAUACUUAAAUUGUGACUAGUAUAGGAACUAUUUGUGUCAAAGAUUGUAAUAUGUGGAGUAAAUGGAUAACGUCUUUAUUUUAAAAUGUUGAAAACACGUGGAGUUUUGAGGUGUUAAAAAGAAAAAAAAAAAAAACAAUGCUUGCAUUAGAUGAAGAUUGGAAGCGAAAACUAUUGUUAAGGUUGGGGGACGACAUACCGUUUCGAAAUGCCGAUAGAAUUAUCGAUCAGGAUAUCUUUAUUUCGGCCCUCGCUUACAUAUAUCU